rnacentral:tRNA from 1 species
UGGGGGGUGGUGUAAUUGGCAGCACAGGUGGUUUUGGUCCAUCUAGAACGGGUUCGAGUCCUGUCCCCCCAGCCA